GCAAAAAAGGAAAAAAAAAACUGAUGUCGACCUGAGACCUUCCGGCGGCUCUCAAGAGGGCGAGCGAGCUCCGCGCCGACGGCAGCCGGGGCUGGUGGGGCCGAUACCGUUCGGCAAGGAGAUGAUGUGGAGGCUGGGCAUGAAGCUGCGCAUCGGCGGCAACGAGGGGUUGCGCGUCGGCGGCAACAAGGCCUCGAGGGCGUCGUUGCGCUCGGCGGCGUUGCGGACUGCGACGGUGUGAGGAGCCGCACGACGCAGCACUUGGUUUGGAGCUAUAUAUAGUACUGUAGCUAGCCGCCGCCGCGGUGUGGCCACGGUGACCUCAUCGGCGGCUUCCGCCAGGCGUAACGUCGCUGGUACUCGUGUGGAGACUGGAGACUGUUCGUAUGUGACUGUCUACAUUUCAUAAUUUUUGGAGUUUUUAAUUUGGUGUCCUUAGUUUUGAUGAUGUGCUCGUUUUUGCCAUUUUUAAAAAGUUUCUAAGACUCACAUCAGACACCGAAUAUUCCGAAUAAAUCCAAAAUUGUGU